rnacentral:lncRNA from 1 species
GAGCCCCUUUGUGUUCAUGGGGAACCCCAGAGCGACUGCUUCAUUCGUCGAAAUCCUAAGAAUCAUGGAAAUAACAAUCGUUUCGACAAUCUUACCGAAGUAGGCGGUAGCGAUGACUAACAUUAGAAGGCCCCAAGAUACCGGUCCGCUCAUCGUGUCUAUGUUUGUUUUCAGACCACUGGAGACGAAGUAGAGAGGUAGGAAAAUACUGGAGAUGAGAUCUUCGAUCUUUUCUAUGAGAACUCCGGCGAAAGGACCUUCUUUAGGAAUGAUGAUCCCGAUUAUAAAAGCCCCGAACAGAGCAUGGAUUCCGAUCAUGUCGGUGCGCCAACAAGAACUGUGAGUAGAGUUAUACAUAUAUGGAUUUCUUUCACUUGCUCUCCAUCAGGUGAUUUGAAGGUCAACCAAAUGAUAAAUAUGGACGGAUGACCACCGUAGCAAAGACGACGAAGCCGAUUCCACGGAGAAAAACCCACAAACUUAUAAGGGGUGAUCCAGAACCCGAGAGUGAAACCGCAAGAGCGAGUAAAAUCCAAGCGACGACAUCAUUGAUGGCAGCCGCUGGCAUAGCCAUCCGACCGAUGUCAGUUGUGAGAAGCUUGAGUCCGGCAAGUAUACGGGCGAGGACGGGGAAAGCGGUUAU